AUUGAACGCUGGCGGCAUGCUUUACACAUGCCAGUCGAACGGCAGCGCGGGCUUCGGCCUGGCGGCGAGUGGCGAACGGGUGAGUAAUACAUCGGAACGUGCCCAGUAGUGGGGGAUAGCUCGGCGAAAGCCGGAUUAAUACCGCAUACGACCUGAGGGUGAAAGCGGGGGAUCUUCGGACCUCGCGCUAUUGGAGCGGCCGAUGGCAGAUUAGCUAGUUGGUGGGGUAAAGGCCUACCAAGGCGACGAUCUGUAGCUGGUCUGAGAGGACGACCAGCCACACUGGGACUGAGACACGGCCCAGACUCCUACGGGAGGCAGCAGUGGGGAAUUUUGGACAAUGGGCGAAAGCCUGAUCCAGCAAUGCCGCGUGUAUGAUGAAGGCCUUCGGGUUGUAAAGCACUUUUGGCGGGAACGAAAAGGACUGUGCCAAUACCACGGUUCGAUGACGGUACCCGCAGAAUAAGCACCGGCUAACUACGUG
rnacentral:rRNA from 1 species